AAAUGAAUUGACGGGGGCCCGCACAAGCGGUGGAUCAUGUGGUUUAAUUCGAAGCAACGCGAAGAACCUUACCUGGGUUUGACAUCCCCUGACAGCUGUAGAAAUACAGUUUCUGUAGCAAUACAGCAGGGAGACAGGUGCUGCAUGGCUGUCGUCAGCUCGUGGGGUGACCUGUUGGGUUAAGUCCCGCAACGAGCGCAACCCUUGUCCUUAGUUGCCAGCAUUAAGUUGGGCUCUCUAAGGAGACUGCCGUGGUUAACACGGAGGAAGGUGGGGAUGACGUCAAGUCCUCAUGGCCUUUAUAUCCAGGGCGACACACGUGAUACAAUGGAUGGUACAGAGGGAUGCUAAAGAGCGAUCUGGAGCAAAUCCCAAAAAGCCAUUCUCAGUUCGGAUUGAAGUCUGCAACUCGACUUCAUGAAGGUGGAAUCGCUAGUAAUCGCGGAUCAGCACGCCGCGGUGAAUAUGUUCCCGGGCCUUGUACACACCGCCCGU
rnacentral:rRNA from 1 species